UACGUAGGAUGCAAGCGUUGUCCGGAAUUAUUGGGCGUAAAGAGCGCGCAGGCGGUAUGACAAGUCAGAUGUGAAAGAGGCCGGCUUAACCGGCAAGGGUCAUUUGAAACUGUCAGACUAGAGUGCAGCAGAGGAUAGUGGAAUUCCCGGUGUAGUGGUGAAAUGCGUAGAUAUCGGGAAGAACACCCGUGGCGAAGGCGGCUCUCUGGACCAUAACUGACGCUGAGGUGCGAAAGCCAGGGGAGCGAACGGG
rnacentral:rRNA from 1 species